GUUUGUUUAUUUUUAAUGACUAACAAUCGUAUAUGGGAGGAUCGCCUCACUAAGUAUUUGUGAUAAUACUUACGCAUCUCUUUCUUUUUGGUGCAGGUAAAGAUAAAGUAUGAUCGUUGAAUCAUUGCAAGGAAGAGAGGAUGAUCUAGGAACUCAUUUGGUUUAU
rnacentral:sRNA from 1 species